rnacentral:rRNA from 1 species
GACAGAGGGUGCAAGCGUUGUUCGGAAUUACUGGGCGUAAAGCGAGUGUAGGCGGUUUGGUAAGUCGGAUGUGAAAGCCCCGGGCUCAACCCGGGAAGUGCACUCGAUACUGCCAAGCUAGAGUGUCGGAGAGGUUGGUGGAAUUCUCGGUGUAGAGGUGAAAUUCGUAGAUAUCGAGAGGAACACCGGUGGCGAAGGCGGCCAACUGGACGAACACUGACGCUGAGACUCGAAAGCGUGGGGAGCAAACAGG